CAAUAGCGUAUAUUAAAGCUGUUGCAGUUGAAAAGCUCGUAGCUGAAUCCGGGGAGAGGCCGGGGGGGUUAUUGCUGCGUGUAAAAGGGUCAAACCUCAAUAAGCGAUCGGCAUGUCACAACCCGCGCCACGACCCAAACAGUCGGUAGACCCAGGGUGCUCUUAACUGAGUGGUCUGUGGUGGCCGGCCAGUUUACUUUGAAAAAUUAGAGUGCUCAGAGCAGGCCGGUAGAGCCUAGAUACUUCAGCAUGGAAUAAUGGAACAGGACUUCGGUCCUCUUCAGUUGGUCUUCGGGACGCGAGGUAAUGACCGAUAGGGACAGACGGGGGCAUUCGUAUUGUGGGCUAGAGGUGAAAUUCUUGGACCCUCGCAAGACGGACAACCGCGAAAGCAUUUGCCAAGAAUGUUUUCAUUAGUCAAGAACGAAAGUCAGAGGUUCGAAGACGAUCAGAU
rnacentral:rRNA from 1 species